rnacentral:rRNA from 1 species
GACGAACGCUGGCGGCGCGCCUAACACAUGCAAGUCGAGCGAGAACCAGGGCUUCGGUCCUGGGGAAAGCGGCGAACGGGUGAGUAACACGUGGGUAAUCUGCCCUCGGCACCGGGAUAGCCCGGGGAAACCCGGAUUAAUACCGGAUAGCCUCCGGAGCCUUCGGGCGCCGGAGAAAAGGUAGCUUCGGCCUCCGGCCGAGGAUGAGCCCGCGGCGGAUUAGCUUGUUGGCGGGGUAACGGCCCACCAAGGCAACGAUCCGUAGCUGGUCUGAGAG